AUUGAACGCUGGCGGCAUGCCUUACACAUGCAAGUCGAACGGUAACGGGCCUUCGGGUGCCGACGAGUGGCGAACGGGUGAGUAAUGUAUCGGAACGUACCUUUCAGUGGGGGAUAACGUAGCGAAAGUUACGCUAAUACCGCAUAUUCUUUGAGCAGGAAAGCAGGGGAUCGCAAGACCUUGUGCUGAUUGAGCGGCCGAUAUCAGAUUAGCUAGUUGGUGAGGUACAGGCUCACCAAGGCGACGAUCUGUAGCGGGUCUGAGAGGAUGAUCCGCCACACUGGAACUGAGACACGGUCCAGACUCCUACGGGAGGCAGCAGUGGGGAAUUUUGGACAAUGGGGGCAACCCUGAUCCAGCCAUGCCGCGUGAGUGAAGUAGGCCUUCGGGUUGUAAAGCUCUUUCGGCCGGGAAGAAAUCGUAUCAGCUAAUACCUGGUGCGGAUGACGGUACCGGCAUAAGAAGCACCGGCUAACUACGUGCCAGCAGCCGCAGUAACAC
rnacentral:rRNA from 1 species